AUACUACUCCCUCCGUCCGGAGUUACUUGUUAUAAAAAUGAAUGUAUCUUGAACUAAAAUACAUCUAGAUAUAUCUAUUCUUGCGACAAGUAUUUCUGAACGGAGGGAGUAUAAA
rnacentral:pre_miRNA from 2 species